UUGCAUUACAGGGCAAAAUCACCAUUGGCAGGCAGCAACUAAGACAUGUAGCUCAGCCAUGCAUUCUUCUAGUGUGCCUUCUGCCAAGGGCGAUUUGCCCGGCAAUUCUACUGCGCGCAGUUUCACUUCACCAAGAUCCUAUUGUUUAUUGUUCAGAGGGAUCGAUGCAAAUUGGCAACACAUGCAUUCACAAAAGUUUAAAUUUCAAUUAUGUUUGCUUUAGUUCACGAUCUGUUGCAGGACAUAUAAUUGUACAGUCCCUGCACAUGUAAAAUAAGUAGUUUGUAUCAGAAAUACGCAUGACAACUUUCAUGCAACAAUGCAGAGCUGGCCCAAGAAAGUUUGAGGCGUAAGCUUUAAUACUAGGGGAUAGCUCAAUUGGCUGGCAACCAAAACCUAUGAAGCAGAGGUUACAAACAAGCUCCCUUUAGAGACAAAGACCCAUGUAUCCAAUAUAUAUUGUAACCUUUUAUGCUGCUAUGAAUGCCCUUAAAUUAUCUUU